GAUCAUCUGAUAUGCUGUUCGCAUAUUUUACAGCUGUGCUUUGCAUUUUUGCAGUUGUGCCCUUUCUGAUUUAACAAUUAUUGUUGGGUAAAAGUUUGUUGUGUAAGCUGGUAUCUUGGUACCCUUUAGUUGGAAUGGAUUGAAGCUUCACAUCGCAGGUGCCUACAGCUCUUUCAGGAACCUGCCUACGUUCCUUUAAUGAUUUGUUUUCUGUUUUUAUCUCAUUUACUAGGGAAGAAGAAAGUUCUAUGGCUCACAAUUGUUACCAGUGUCUAUAUUUUUCUUUAUUUUUUGACUUAAGAAAUUUCUCAUCGUUUUUAUCAUUAAUCAAGUAGGGUGGAAAUAUUAAUCAAGCGACCAAUAAAGUUCUAUUAUUUGACAUUUUCUAAUUUUAGACUGAUGAGCUGUUUGGGAAAACACACUGAUUUACCGAGUUCGAAACAACGGUAAUCGAAGCUAAUCUCACAGAUUCGUUGGGAUAUCUACGUUAUAAAUACUGUUAAGGUGCAGAUGGAAGGAUCCGAAUUCUGGGAACAGGAUACCUGUUCAAUCUAUCCGUCGAUCCCGAGGAUAGACAAUGAAGA
rnacentral:lncRNA from 1 species